ACAGCACAAAGUCAGCGAAAAUACCAAAACAUAUGCUCCAAAUUACAAGUCUUGCCACAGAUUAUCAGUUGGAUGUAGGUCUGGACUUUGACUGGGCCAUUUUAAUACAAGCAUAUGCUUUGAUCUAGUGUGAUCAAUGUAUCUAAAACCCUGUCCUCAAGUAUACAGUCCUUCAUGUUUUAGAUGUGUUUCUAUUACAGCACAUGUGAUUCACAUGACUGCAUUAACUGCACUACAUACCACCAAAUGCUUCAGAGGCCCAACAGCGGGCCCUGAGGAACAGGGUUGCCCUGUAUUUAGCUCUAUCCAUCUUCCUAACAACUGGCCAGCUUCCCUGAGCUUGCAGAAGAAAAGCAUCCCCAAAGCAUUAUGCUGCCACCACCAUGUUUCACAGCAGAGUUCUGUGUUCAUUGCAUGUGGACCUAAAAGUUCCAUUUUGGUCUCAUCUGACCAGAGCACCUGGGUACACCUGUCUGCUGUGUCCCCUGCAUGGCACACUGCCAGUAGGAUUUCUUGUGGCAUCUUUUCCAACUUUGCAUAGUUGUCCUGACAACAGUUUGUCCCACUUGAGCUGUGGAUUUCUGCAGCUCCUCCAGUAUUGCCAUGGAGGUCCUGGUUGUUUCCCUGAAUAAUACUCUCCUUGCCUGUCCUGUCUGGUUAAGGGUUCUAAAGCCUUCACAGAACACUUGUGUUUAUGCUGAGAUUAAAUUACACACAGGUGGACUCCAUUCACUUUGGCCAUCUUUGCAGCCACCCAAAGUGAUGUGUUGUUUCCAUGGGAACAUAAUUCAUCAGGAGGGCACGCCUCCACAACAAGCAGUUCCCCUCUGAAACAGAUGGUGGCAGCAGUAAUGCUCUCAACCACCAACACAAUUAUAAGAGAAGAAGUGGUUUUGGUUCAGGUUCUCAAGAUCAUUAAAAGCAACAACUACAGAAGGACUCUGUGGUGGAACUUUUCUCUCAAUUUCCUCUGCUGCAGAAAAGGGCCCUACUGGACACACAUGGAUUUAACCAAUUGUCUCACACAUCAGCCUGUCAAGGAGAAGUUCAUAAACGACAGCACAAAGGUGACAGCAGAUGCCAGCAUGAUGUUCAUAAAAGUCAUGCAGGGAUGGUUCCCAAAUCCAUCAUAAUUCUGCUCACAAUCUGACACAAGUCUUCUCUCCAGACACAGACUUCAAUCCACUGAUGAUGAAACACAGAUCUUAUCCCUGAUGCCAUAUCUACUUGAGAGGGCCUCUGAUGAUUUAGCAUUUCUAUCCAGUUAUAUCUGGAUACAACGGCUUUGUAAAGCCCCUAACCCCAUCCCUCCUCUCUGCAGACUCUUAACACCACCCAGGUGUAUGACGCCAUGAUGGGUGUUUCCUCUGUGGUUUGUGGGGGGAAUUCUUUUAGUGAUUUAUACUUUGCAGUCAUAUCUUGGGUACAGUGGAUAAUGACAUUUUCAUAUCUGACAUUUUAUUAGCUAAUUUUAUGUGCUAAUAUCAGAAUUUUGUCAACCACUCUCUGAUGACCUUCUCUUUGCAGCUGUAUUGAGAUAUAGAGAUUAGAAAGGGGGCUCUGUGAUUGGCUGAAUGUAUAUUUUUAUUUAUUUUUAUUUAUAAAUCUAUAAAUGUCAUUGUCACAAGUUUCACUGACGCCGAUACCUCUGUGCAAUCUGUAACCAGCUAUAGCAUAAUAAAUAAAGACAAUGAUAUAACAUGAA